rnacentral:misc_RNA from 1 species
UUUCCGUAGGUGAACCUGCGGAAGGAUCAUUAAAAAAUUGGACUCCAUUGGUGAGUUCAUUAAUAAUCCCUACCCUUUGUGAAUUUGUUUGUUUGAAUAAUUUUUUUUCCAAAAAAAAAUUAUUGAAUGUCUUUCCCUGUUUUGGUGGAGCUUGUAAAGUGAAACCAGGCAGGGGAAUGGCAAACAAUAAUUAUUUUUUGAAAAAAGACCUUUUUUAAAAUUAAACUUUUUGUAUUCAUUUGUCUAAAAUUAUUUUUAUAAUAUAAAAACAACUUUUGACAAUGGAUCUCUUGGUUCUCGCAACGAUGAAGAACGCAGCAAAAUGCGAUAAGUAGUGUGAAUUGCAGAAUACGUGAAUCAUCGAAUCUUCGAACGCAUAUUGCACUUUUUUAGUUUACUAAAAAAGUAUGUCUGUUUGAGUAUCAGUAAAAUAUUCUCAUAAAAAACAUUGUUUUUUUAUGGUUAUGAGUGUUUUACAACGAUAACAAGUUGUUUCACUUUAAAUUCUUUGUUAUCAAAAAAAUCAUUAAAAGCUAAUUUUAAAGAUUUUUUAAAAUUGGAUAAAAUUUUCCCGUAAAAAGGAAUAACCUAAACAAUUUUAAAAAAUUAAAAUUGGUUUGAUUUUUUUUGAAACCCAAAGGAAAAAAAAACGAAAUUAACUUGAUCUCAAAUCAGAUAAGGUACCCGCUGAACUUAAGCAUAUCAAUAAGCGGAGGAAAAGAAACUAACUAGGAUUCCCUCAGUAACGGCGAGUGAAGCGGGAAGAGCUCAAAUUUGAAAUCUUCAAGGUUUUACCUUGACGAAUUGUAGUUUAAAGAAGUGUUUUCUGUUGGAGUUUUGGUAAAAGUUCUUUGGAAAAGGACAUCAUAGAGGGUGAGAAUCCCGUAUUUGACCAUUAUCUCCAGCUUUGUGAUACACUUUCAAAGAGUCGGAUUGUUUGGGAAUGCAGUCCAAAAUGGGUGGUAAAUUUCAUCUAAGCUAAAUACUGGCGAGAGACCGAUAGCGAACAAGUACCGUGAGGGAAAGAUGAAAAGAACUUUGAAAAGAGAGUUAAACAGUACGUGAAAUUGUCAAAAGGGAGCGUUUGACACCAGUGUUGUUUUCUCGAAAAUCAAUUAAAAAAGGCCGAAUUUUGUGUUGUAUUGACUUUAUCAGCUUUCUGCACUUUUUUCUUGUCUUUUUUAAUGCACUUUUCGUUUAACAAGUCAACAUCAAUUUCUUUUGUUGUAAAAGGGUCAUUGGAAGGUGGCUUUCUUUUCGGAGAAAGUGUUUAUAGCCUUUGGCCUCUGCAAUCGGAGAGAUUGAGGUCUGCAGCGUAGAUCCUUCGGGUUAGAUACAUUUGUGCUAAGUUAUAGCCUUUCAUAGACAACUUGUUGACUAUGAUCAGUCAUGUAGCUUACUCGCUUAUGCUAUUU